AUUGAACGCUGGCGGCAGGCCUAACACAUGCAAGUCGAACGCGUGGCGGACGGGUGAGUAAUGUCUGGGAAACUGCCUGAUGGCGGGGGAUAACUCCUGGAAACGGUAGCUAAUACCGCAUACCAUCGGAUGUGCCCAGAUGGGAUUAGCUUGUUGGUGGGGUAACGGCUCACCAAGGCGACGAUCCCUAGCUGGUCGGAGAGGAUUACCAGCCACACUGGAACUGAGACACGGUCCAGACUCCUACGCGAGGCAGCAGUGGGGAAUAUUGCACAAUGGGCGCAAGCCUGAUGCAGCCAAGCCGCGUGUAUGAAGAAGGCCUUCGGGUUGUAAAGUACUUUCAGCGGGGAGGCGUUACCCGCAGAAGAAGCACCGGCUAACUCCGUGCCAGCAGCCGCGGUAAUAC
rnacentral:rRNA from 1 species